GAUCCAUAAUAAUUUGAUAUGAGACAAGUCAUACACAGAGUGAGCAGCGUUGAGGUAUGGUCGAGGCAUCACUCCCCUCCUGAGCAUGACUCUGCGCUAUGAACUGACCCUUAUUAUUUAGGUC